AUGUUUGCUCGUCUUGCGGAACACCCGCAGAACAAGUUACUCGCAAUCCAAGGCUUCACUGCUCAUCACAGAACUGUUCGUAUUAGAGAAACAAUGGAGAGGAUCUAAAGAAUCAGAGAGCGAGAAGAGAAAGGCGACUUCACUUUUUGUAUGUUUGUGUGUGAGCUUUUUCUAUUUAAUAUUGUUUUAAGUUAAUGCCCCAGAGGGGGGGAAAUGCUCUGUGUCUGAUUUUCUGGAAAUUAUUACAGUGAAAUUCCGGCCCCUGCUUUCCCCAAACCCCAUUCACAUGUCCCCGAAAUCAAUCCAAACAAGGUCUCAGGCACAGCCCAGAACAAAAGAGGAGGAGCAUAGACUCCGGGAUCCUUGUAACCCAGCACCUCCUAAUGGGAAGAGAGGCAGAGGUAGAUUCCCUUUGCACCACCCCUUACCCCACCUGGCUGGGGAGGCUGACGUCAGGUGAGGAUGUGGCCACAUCUGCAUGGAGGAGGCAGGAGAUAUCUGGGCUUAGCACUCUGCCCAGCCCAGGAGAGGGACCCAGGACAACAGCCUAAUCCUCCGGCAUCAGGUUCAGAAUAGCUUCGAGGAGAGCAAGGAAGAGAACUCACCCAUAUCACCCCAAGCCCGGGGACAUUUACAGUGAGGUCACGUAGACUCGGGGGCCCAGGAGAACAACCCGGGUACGGGAAGAGCCAAGACGACAGUAAAGCAGGGCGGUGGGUCUUUGCACUGUCCUCCUCCAAACAGCAUGAGUGACUCAGCCCUCCCGAGGGUGCCACGUUCUCUCUGCUUCCGCCAUUUGGUCUCAUCUCACUCGUGACCCCCCCUCCAUGUGAGUCCUACUCAGGGCUGAUGAUCCAAAUACCUAACAGCUACCAGAGCAUGGGCCCCCGCCAGGCAAAACAGACACCAGCUGUGAACAACGGAAAGAGAUAGCAAAUUACCCCCUAAACUCGCUGGCUUAGAACAACAAACAUUUAUGAUCUCACCCACUUAUGGGUCAGGAAUUUGAAGCCGCUUAGUUGGAUGGUUCCGGCUCAGGGUCUCUCAGGAAGUUGUAGUCAAGAGGUUCAGGUGGAGUUACAGUCAUUCGAAGGCUUGGCCUGGGCUGGGGGCAUCUGCGUCCAAGGCUGUGGGCAGGAGGCCUCCGUGCCCCGCCCCCCCAGCGGACCUCUCCAGAGGGCCGCUUGGGCGUCCUCACAAUAUGGCGGCUGGCUUCCGCAGAGGGACUGACCCAAGAGAGCAAGCCUGAGUCACAAUGUCUUUUAUGACCUAGCCUCCAAAGUCACACACUGUCAUUUCUGCAGUACCCUAGCAGUCGCACAGGUCAGCCAUACUCUGUGUGGAAAGGGACGGGCACAAGGCGUAAAUACCAGGAGGCGAGGAUCCGUGAGUGACAUUCUGGAGGCUGCUCCCUCUUCGAAAUCCUCUAACGGAUUGCCACCCCUUAGAACAAAACACAAAUGCCUGCCCGUGGCCUGCAAGGGCUGGCGGGACUGGGGCCCUGCCUGCUUUCCAGGCUCAUCACGCCCUUGGCCACUUGCGCUAACUGCCAGAUGCACCAACCUGUCCCUCAAGGUCCCACACUCGUCCUUCACGGUCUCCACUACAUCCGCCUGGAAGCCUCCCUACCAGACUUUGCCUGGUUCCUCCUCACCUUUUAGGUCUCGGCUCCAAUGCCACCUCCUCAGACAGGUUCCCCUGACCACCUUACCAAAAAUAGCCCCCACCCCUGCCUGCCUCUCUCUCACAUCACCACGCGUGGUGUCGCCCUCCACGGUUGCAAAUGCGUAGCUACGACAUGAGCGAUGAUCCAUAAUUUACAUUUUGUGGCACCGAUUCGAUGUAUUUCCACGUGCAGUCGGUUCCGAUGUCUUGCUACGUUUCCUUCAUUUCCUUCCGAGACGCCCGUUCACAUCACCCCGUGUUGGCUUCUUCCCGGCACAGCGCUGACCCCUCUCUGAAAUGAUCCUGUGCGUCGGAUUAUUGCCCUUCUCCCUUCACGUGCCAGUGAGAGCCCUCGCUUUUAAGCAACAGACUCUUCCUAGCUAGUUGAAGCUGAAGAGGAACUUAUUAGCAGAUAGGAAGCACCUCAGAAGUCGCCAGGAGAGCAGAGAACUGGGCUUGGAGGUCAUCUGUGUGGAUCAGUCCUUGUAUGAGCCCCACUGCGCGCGUGCACACACACACACACACACACACACACACCACUGUUGCCCGGGUGGGCACUUGAAGCUGGAGACCACCACGGGGAUGCCUGCAGCUGCCGACUCUGGGAUCCGGAUGGAUCUGCUGUACUCUCUCCAGAGAACAUUCCUCGGCACCUGCCUCUCAGUGUCACUUGGACGCGGGCGCAUCUGAUGGCUGGCGUCUUGUGUCACCUUCUCUGCUCCAUCUGCAAGCGAGGCUGGGAACCUACGUGGCUUCCACAGAGGGAAAUGUCAGUUCAUAAGGUGGGGGGUGGGGGGGAAGCCUCAAACCGAGGAAGAGUAUAUGCCGUGGUUCGGGGAUGCCAGUGCAUUGAUGACAUAUAUCGUGUCCCGUCUACUCUUUCGGCUACUUCUCAUCACCAACCCCUCUCUCGUCCUCAGACUUCACAAAUGACAACACAACCCAACGGCAGGCUGAGAGCCGCUUCUCAAAAAGAAAAUAGUUACUUGUGCAAAGACUGCAUGGCUCUGCUCCAAAACUUUAGGGCUUGCUGCCAGCCUCUGACCAUCUCGCUCAUGUCUUUAUUUAUUGCCUGCCGGGAGCCCCCCUCCGGAUGUAUUUAUUGCGUUCCCACCACGUGCUACCAGCCGGUAGACAGAACAGCCUCAAAUCCUGCUGUUGUGGGGGUUUUGACGCCACCGAGAUGGUGACCAAGGCAGAUCUCUACACCGGUCACCUAUUCCCAGCUCCCCGAAGCUCCGGAACAAUCAUCACGGACGUACCACCCAACCUGUACACGGUCCCAUGGUAUGUUAAUUGGCUUGAGCUGCCAUAACAAAAUACCAUAGACUCCGUGCUGUAAACAACAGAAAUUUAUUUCUCCCAGCUCCGGAGGCUGGAAGUUCAAGAUCAAGGUGCCAGCAAGGUAGGUUUCAUUAUAAGGCCUCUUCUCUUGGCGUGGAGGUAGGGGGCCAUCCUCUCCGUGUGCUUGCCUGACCCCGUCUUUGUGCUGCGUGCAGGGGAGGGGGAGGAGGGAGAAAGAGAGAGGUGUUGUGUCUUUUCUUCUUACAAGGACAUCAGUUCUGUCAGAUUAGGGCCUCACCUUUACGACUGCAUUUAACCUAAAUUACACUCGAAAGACUCUAUCUCCAAAUACAGUCACAUGGGGGUUAAGGUUUUAAUGCAGGAAUUAUGGGAGGACACAACUGAGUCCACAGCGCAUGGACACCCAACAGAUGCUCAGAAUCUGGUCUGCCACCUCACAGAGAAUAGAGUCAACUUUCUGUAAGCGUUAGAAAUGUUCUGUAUUUGUGUGGUAGUUACAUAAGAGUGUGUGUGUGUGUAUGUGUGUGUGUGUGUGAGUGCGCAUAAAUUAUUUGAGAUGUAUACUUAAGAUUUGUAUGCUUAACUGUAUGUAUGUUACACCUCAACAAAAAAAAUUUUUUUUUAAUGAACACACACGGAAGAGAAGAGAAUCCAAUUAAAUCCGUGAGGCCUUUGGGAAUGAAGAAGGUGCCCAGCGUGUCCUUAGGCUUGAAAGUGACACCAAGGAGUUACCGUGCAGGAAUGGAAGGAACUUAGCCUUUAUUGAGCAUUUUGUUUUGUCAGGGUAGUUUUGGCUGUAGGAAAGGGAAGUCCACACACUGUGUCAAGUAUAAAGAGUCUUAGGUUUUUUUGGGUUGUUUUUUAGUU